rnacentral:rRNA from 1 species
UACGGAGGGUGCAAGCGUUGCUCGGAAUUAUUGGGCGUAAAGGGCAGGUAGGUGGUCUCGUUUGUCAGGGUGAAAGCCUUGGGCUUAACUCAAGAAGUGCCCCUGAAACGGCGAAGACUAGAGUGCUGGAGAGGUCGGUGGAAUUCCCGGUGUAGCGGUGGAAAUGCGUAGAGAUCGGGAGGAACACCAGAGGCGAAGGCGGCCGACUGGACAGUGACUGACACUCAACUGCGAAAGCGUGGGGAGCAAACAGGA